rnacentral:piRNA from 1 species
UAUCAAUACGUUUUUCUGUAA